CUGAAAAUGAGAGAGAUUUGAAAUCAGGAGAAUUAUUUUAAGGCUGUUUUACAAGCAGUCAGAUUCCUAGUUCACUCUCAACUUAUUGCAGCUGGGUGACUUCCCCUGCCAGACACCAAGAGCAGAGCAGAAGAGCAGAGGUUCCUGUAUAUAUGCAUGUGAGGAUACAACAUGUCAAGAGCUUCUGGGAAGUGUGGUGUCUGAUAAAACCAGGUCUCAGUACAAGAAAAAAAGGCAGAAAUAAUUCAUGGUAGCCGAAGGAUUUGAAGAGAAUAGAAUUUUACAAGUACUUUGGAGAAAAGGGAGCACAAGAUGUAAGAAAAGGACAUUAAUAAAUAAAAAGACUGGUAAGUUAAUGAUUAUUCCGAAGGGUCUGAACUAUUGAGCUCGUUUUUAAAAAUUUAUACUGGAAAGAAAUAAGGGAAUUGAAAGCUUUGGGUUAUUUUGCAAUAAUCAUUGCAGACACUGGAAAAUUGCUUAUAAAAUAAAGAGAAAGUAUGAUGAACAUCUUACAGAAAAAAUGGGAGUUAACCUAAAUGCAAAUAUUAAUAGCUAGUCUUUUGUUUCUCUCUCUCUCUUUCAGUUUUAAACAUU